GGAUGCAGAGAAAUAGGAAUCCCGAAAGGAAUGAAACGGAGCCAGACAUGUAUGGAAGGGUGGGUUAAAGACCUAUAGGAACGAAACUGGUCCCAGGGACAGAUAGGAGAAUGACCAGUUCGCUAAGCGUGAAAUAAGAGGGGGAGAGGAUUCACUACUUACCCAAAAGAGGGAUAUAAAGUCAAACAACAAGCGUACUCUAUUGACUGUACGACAAGUAUACAAUGGAACAAUAUACAGAAUAAAAAAGAUCCUUACACAUAAAAUCUCAAUAUUGUUGGCUUUGUGAAUCUCCUAUAGAACAGAGGCAUAGACUCACUAGCUCACUCAAGAAUGGGACG
rnacentral:lncRNA from 1 species